rnacentral:rRNA from 1 species
UACGGGGGGGGGCAAGCGUUUGUUCGGAAUUACUGGGCGUAAAGGGUUCGUAGGUGGCCAACUAAGUCAGACGUGAAAUCCCUCAGCUCAACUGGGGAACUGCGUCUGAUACUGGUUGGCUUGAGUGCAGGAGAGGAACGCGGAAUUCCAGGUGUAGCGGUGAAAUGCGUAGAUAUCUGGAGGAACACCGGUGGCGAAGGCGGCGUUCUGGACUGUAACUGACACUGAUGAACGAAAGCCAGGGGAGCAAACGGG